rnacentral:lncRNA from 1 species
GCCGCUCGAUUGACGGCGGUGGUAACUGAGAUGGAGAGGGAGUCGAGAGAGAGGGGUGAGAACGAGCGACGAUUUCGCCGGAGAUAGAAACUGGAAGGGGUGUCCCUCUUUCUUUCUGAGUAUUAUCAGAACUUGAUGUGGCUUGAUUUUGCAUGCAAUGUUGCCGGAGUUUGGAGAGUGGGAAGAGAAGAGAUGAAUUAGGGCGGCAAGUCGGACAAGCUGUGACGACAAAGUCUGUCGCUGCUCGAUUCGAGAAGAGGUGAAUUUGGCCGCGCACGCUUGCUAGGGAGAUGAGAUGGUGAGAGGAGGCAACGGCAAUUGCGAUUUGGGGCCUAAAGCUCUCAGGCGGCGUCGCG